rnacentral:lncRNA from 1 species
AGAAUAAUAAAAAAAAGUAGUGAGUAUAUAAGAGCAUCCCAUCGUCUUUUAGAAGUAUAGACUUUUGAAAAGUUCAAGCACAAACAUCAACAUGAAGAUCUUUUUCUUUGUUACUUUCAUCUUCUUCGCUAUUGCAGCUUUGACUUCGGUUAAUGCACAAUUAAACGAAGGAGAUGCUUGUGUACCCAAAUCUGAACCUAAAUGUGGACCAGGAUUAAGAUGCUGCGGAUUCCUCAAAAAAUGUGUCAAAGAUGAAUAAAACCAAACGCAAUUUUGUACUCUUUUUAUAACUGGCGCUAUUAAUAAUGAAAAUACCAAAAAAAUUUAAAUAAAUAAAUAUAAAAGUAUA